AGUGAACGCUGGCGGCAGGCCUAACACAUGCAAGUCGAACGGCAGCACAGUGGAGCUUGCUCCAUGGGUGGCGAGUGGCGGACGGGUGAGGAAUACAUCGGAAUCUGCCCAGUCGUGGGGGAUAACAUAGGGAAACUUAUGCUAAUACCGCAUACGACCUACGGGUGAAAGCGGGGGAUCGCAAGACCUCGCGCGAUUGGAUGAGCCGAUGUCCGAUUAGCUAGUUGGCGGGGUAAUGGCCCACCAAGGCGACGAUCGGUAGCUGGUCUGAGAGGAGGAUAAGCCACACUGGAACUGAGACACGGGCCAGACGCCUACGGGAGGCAGCAGUGGGGAAGAUUGGACAAUGGGCGCAAGCCUGAUCCAGCCAUGCCGCGUGGGUGAAGAAGGCCUUCGGGUUGUAAAGCCCUUUUGUCCGGAAAGAAAAGCCUCGGGUUAAUACCCUGGGGUGAUGACGGUACCGGAAGAAUAAGCACCGGCUAACUUCGUGCCAGCCGCCGCAGUAACAC
rnacentral:rRNA from 1 species